UACGGAGGGUGCAAGCGUUGUCCGGAUUUAUUGGGUUUAAAGGGUGCGUAGGCGGCCCGUUAAGUCAGUGGUGAAAGCCUCCAGCUCAACUGGAGAACUGCCAUUGAUACUGACGGGCUUGAGUACAGACGAGGUUGGCGGAAUUGAUUGUGUAGCGGUGAAAUGCAUAGAUACAAUCAAGAACACCGAUUGCGUAGGCAGCUAACUAGGCUGUAACUGACGCUGAGGCACGAAGGCGUGGGGAGCGAACAGG
rnacentral:rRNA from 1 species